rnacentral:rRNA from 1 species
CCCUUAGAUGUUCUGGGCCGCACGCGUGCUACACUGAUGCAUUCAACGAGUCUAAAACCUGGUCUGAUAGGGCUGGGUAAUCUUUUGAAAGUGCAUCGUGAUUGGGAUAGAUGAUUGCAAUUCUUCAUCUUCAACGAGGAAUGCCUAGUAGGCGCAAGUCAUCAGCUUGCGUCGAUUACGUCCCUGCCCUUUGUACACACCGCCCGUCGCUCCUACCGAUUGGGUGUGCUGGUGAAAUGUUCGGAUCGGCCGUUUGUCGCGGUUUCCGCGGCUCGUGGCUGAGAAGUUCAUUAAACCCUCCCACCUAGAGGAAGGAGAAGUCGUAACA